rnacentral:rRNA from 1 species
CCUACGGGGGGCAGCAGUGAGGAAUAUUGGUCAAUGGCCGGAAGGCUGAACCAGCCAUGCCGCGUGAAGGUCAGUGCCCUAUGGGCGUUAAACUUCUUUUGUGCGGGAGCAAUAAUGGUCACGUGUGGCCAGACGAGAGUACCGUACGAAUAAGCAUCGGCUCACUCUGUGCCAGCAGCCGCGGUCAUACGGGGGAUGCAAGCGUUAUCCGGAGUUAUUGGGUGUAAAGGGUGCGUAGGCUGGGAGGUAAGUCAGCGGGGAAAUGCCCCCGCGCAACGGGGUGAAGUGCCAUUGAUACUGGCUAGCUGGAGUGCGGGUGCGGUGGGAGGAAUGUGUGGUGUAGCGGUGAAAUGCAUAGAUAUCACACAGAACACCGAUUGCGAAGGCAUCUCACG